CCUAGUUCUAACCCUAAACGAUGCUAACUAGCUAUUCGCCGUCGUUAUUCCCAUGACGUGGCGAGACGCCCCCGGGAAACCUCAAGUCUUUGAGUUCCGGGGGUAGUAUGGUUGCAAAACUGAAACUUAAAGGAAUUGACGGAAGGGCACCACCAGGAGUGGAGCCUGCGGCUUAAUUUGACUCAACACGGGAAACCUCACCAGGCCCGGACACCAGAAGGAUUGACAGAUUAAGAGCUCUUUCUCGAUUUGGUGGGUGGUGGUGCAUGGCCGUUCUUAGUUGGUGGAGUGAUUUGUCUGGUUAAUUCCGGUAACGAACGAGACUCUGGCCUACUAACUAGUGGAUGGGUGUUCUGGUAACGGGCCCCAUCCGAUAAUGUCUUCUUAGAGGGAUGAGCAGCGAGUAUAGCUGCAGGAGAUUGAGCAAUAACAGGUCU
rnacentral:rRNA from 1 species